rnacentral:rRNA from 1 species
GAUGAACGCUGGCGGCAUGCCUAAGACAUGCAAGUCGAACGGAGCGGCCCAUUGAAGACUGAGUGCUUGCACAAAGUUGGAUUUGGAUCCCCGCUUAGUGGCGAAAGGGUGAGUAACACGUAGGAAUCUGCCUUUAAGACUGGGACAACAGUUGGAAACGACUGCUAAUACCGGAUGAUAUGUUAAAUGAUACGUUAUUUAACAGUAAAAGGAGCCUUUAAAGCUUCACUUAAAGAUGAGCCUGCGGCGUAUUAGCUAGUUGGUGAGGUAAUGGCUCACCAAGGCAACGAUGCGUAGCCGAACUGAGAGGUUGAUCGGCCACAUUGGGACUGAGACACGGCCCAAACUCCUAUGGGAGACAGCAGUUAGGAAUAUUCGUCAAUGGAGGAAACUCUGAACGAGCAAUGCCGCGUGUGUGAUGAAGGUCCUUUGGAUUGUAAAGCUCUGUCUUUAGGGACGAUAAUGACGGUACCUAAGGAGGAAGCCACGGCU